rnacentral:rRNA from 1 species
AGCAGCCGCCACGGUAAUACGAAGGGGGCUAGCGUUGUUCGGAAUUACUGGGCGUGAAGCGCACGUAGGCGGAUAUUUAAGUCAGGGGUGAAAUCCCAGAGCUCAACUCUGGAACUGCCUUUGAUACUGGGUAUCUUGAGUAUGGGAGAGGUGAGUGGAAUUCCGAGUGUAGAGGUGAAAUUCGUAGAUAUUCGGAGGAACACCAGUGGCGAAGGCGGCUCACUGGUCCAUUACUGACGCUGAGGUGCGAAAGCGUGGGGAGCAAACAGGAUUAGAUACCCGAGUAGUCCCUGUCUCUUAUAC